rnacentral:rRNA from 1 species
AUGGUUAUCCCUGCACCAGCUAGGGCGCCUGCAAUCACCAAGUUCCUGAAGCCCUAUGUUCUGAAGAUGCACUUCACAAACAACUUUGUGACGGCCCAGGUCAUCCACACCCCAUCGGCGACCAUCGCAUGCGCAGCGAGCUCACAGGAGAAGAUCCUGAGGCCAAGCAUGGAGUCGACGCGGGAUGUGGCUGCGGCGGCCAAGAUCGGGAAGCUGCUUGGCGAGCGCCUGCUGUUCAGGGGCAUCCCCGCGGUGUCCGUCUCCAUGUCGAGAGACCAGACGUACCACGGCAAGGUCAAGGCCGUCAUCGAUUCUCUCACGGCCACCGGCGUGAAGCUGCUGUGA